CUCUUGUGUGAGAAGAUUUACUGUUGUUUUUUUUUUUUUUUUUUUUUUUCAUCUUCUGUACUUUGUGAAGCUGAGUGACUCUUCAAUGUAAAGUGUGAAGGCCAUGCACACACAAAAUUGUGUUCAGAUGAAGCACAAAAGCCUUGAGGGAGGCAAGUGAAAGUCAGGUUCUUCAAAGGCUUGCAUGACUGCAAACAAAUAGAGUAGAAUACUUGGUCAUUUGAGAGUCGUGUUACUGGUCCUGAAACAAAACUGUUGUGACAAGUUGUUAAAUGGAGGACUUUGCAAGAAAUCAAUCCUUCAUAGCAGAAAGAUGUCCUUAUUCAUAGCUGUGUUGCGUUCACCUGAGGACAAUGCUACAAGGGUAUGACAAGUGAAGAGCCUUGGGCUGCCUUAUGGUAAGCGGAUUCAUUUGAUUGAUGCCCAAACAAGCUGCACUACAAUAUUUGAAACUUCUUGCAAGACAAGGCUCAAGAAAUCAAGGGUUCUUCUCCUAAAGUACCUUGUAUCCCCUUUCUUGCAGACUUCUGACGUUUUUACAGUGUAGGAGUUCCCUGUCACCAUUAAGGCUGGAGCUGACUCUGGAGUUGUAUCAUAGCCUUGCCAGCUGCCGACACGUGCUGACAAUAGACUUCUCGCUAAGCAACAACUUUGUAGAAAAAUCAGGUAGUCUUCGAUGCAUAGGUGUUUUAUUUUCUCUUGAAAUGUCAAGACAGUAACAAAGGCAAAAAAAUGGAAAAAUACUGGUUCCUUCACUUCAUCUGGGAAUGAAUGUUACAUGCAAGCAUCCUGAAGCAGAUGCUCUUAAACCAUUAAAAGGGAUGUGAACUCAGUGACAGCAACUAUUCAGAUGAAGUUGCAAAAUGUUAGCUUAAAAAUAUAAAUUGAGGAUUUUAUAGUGACACAUAAAGACUAAGAAGACUCAAGCAUAGGGUUAGACCCAAGUGCUCAAGGUAAGAAGACAGCUCUUGAAUGAUUUCAGAUGAACUAGAAGCCCACAGCACUGAAUCACUGUUCAAUAGGUUCAGUGUCUGACAUUGUUGAAAACAAAUCUCCUUCAAACCACCCGUAGCUGUUAAUGGUCUCCUGUGCUAAAUGAAGGAUAGCAGAGAAUGCCCCUGGUGGCUGGGCCCUAUCAACUGAACCUUCACCUGCUUGGUGCCAGCAUUGUGGACUUAACAUUUUUGGCAUGCAUUUGUUUCUUGUUUAGGUAGCAACGAUUGUAUGAGCAUUUACUAAGGAGCUUGCUAUGCCUUGUGUUACCAGAACAUGAUCCGUUCUGUCUGACUUGGUACGGAGCACUUGAAGAUAAGGUCCAGCUUCCAGUUGGUUCAUCUGCUGUCUUUCUAGAACUGUCCAAAUGUUUAUAAGGGAAAAACUAACAGCUGCUGAUAGAAGAAAGUUAGUGGACAAGCGUUUUGGCAUUUCUUAUUUUCCAGAGCCUGAGCUAGAAAUGCUUGUGCUGCUAACAAAUGUUUAGGAAGACUCCUAAUGAGACUAUCCUGUAGUAAAUGAGUGGUCUUAAGCUUCUGUUUUAUUAAAUAUCAUACUUAAAUGUUUUUAGUAGCUAAGGAACAUCAGUUGCUCGUUAGUAAGCUUAAGUUAUCCCUAACA